AUGGCUAUGUGGCUCAUGAAUAAAACAUUCAUUGAAAAGCUGGAUAAACAUAGACGUAGAUUUUUCUGGCAAGGUUGUAAUAAGAAAAAGAGAUAUCACCUUGUCAAGCGGAAUAGGAUCUGUAGAUCCAGAGACAAAGGGGGCCUGGGGGUUAAGGACCUUAGAAAGCAAAAUAUUAACUUAAUGGUGAAAUGGUGGUGGAAAUUGGAGACCCAAAGUGGGUUAUGGCAGGAUAUUGUGCGUGCUAGAUACCUUAGAAACAAAACUGUUGCUGAGGUUAGUGCCAGAUUUUCUGAUUCACCGUGA
rnacentral:rRNA from 1 species